rnacentral:rRNA from 3 species
CCCCGGUAAACGGCGGCCGUAACUAUAACGGUCCUAAGGUAGCGAAAUUCCUUGUCGGGUAAGUUCCGACCUGCACGAAUGGCGUAAUGAUGGCCAGGCUGUCUCCACCCGAGACUCAGUGAAAUUGAACUCGCUGUGAAGAUGCAGUGUACCCGCGGCAAGACGGAAAGACCCCGUGAACCUUUACUAUAGCUUGACACUGAACAUUGAGCCUUGAUGUGUAGGAUAGGUGGGAGGCUUUGAAGUGUGGACGCCAGUCUGCAUGGAGCCGACCUUGAAAUACCACCCUUUAAUGUUUGAUGUUCUAACGUGGACCCGUAAUCCGGGUUGCGGACAGUGUCUGGUGGGUAGUUUGACUGGGGCGGUCUCCUCCUAAAGAGUAACGGAGGAGCACGAAGGUUGGCUAAUCCUGGUCGGACAUCAGGAGGUUAGUGCAAUGGCAUAAGCCAGCUUGACUGCGAGCGUGACGGCGCGAGCAGGUGCGAAAGCAGGUCAUAGUGAUCCGGUGGUUCUGAAUGGAAGGGCCAUCGCUCAACGGAUAAAAGGUACUCCGGGGAUAACAGGCUGAUACCGCCCAAGAGUUCAUAUCGACGGCGGUGUUUGGCACCUCGAUGUCGGCUCAUCACAUCCUGGGGCUGAAGUAGGUCCCAAGGGUAUGGCUGUUCGCCAUUUAAAGUGGUACGCGAGCUGGGUUUAGAACGUCGUGAGACAGUUCGGUCCCUAUCUGCCGUGGGCGCUGGAGAACUGAGGGGGGCUGCUCCUAGUACGAGAGGACCGGAGUGGACGCAUCACUGGUGUUCGGGUUGUCAUGCCAAUGGCACUGCCCGGUAGCUAAAUGCGGAAGAGAUAAGUGCUGAAAGCAUCUAAGCACGAAACUUGCCCCGAGAUGAG